ACUUUACAGAGAGAUUUCAAAAGUAUGUGAAAGCGUUCUGGGGUAAAUGUGAAAAGUCCGAAUGGUCGAACGGGUGAUAUUCAUGCCCAUCCGGCCACUGGCCCCUGCCUUCGGCAGAUGGGGCCGGCCGCCCGCGCGGAGCUAUCCGCGGCGCGGUUGUGUCCGGUUGUCUUUCCGCUCGCCGUUGGGCGGAGUGGUUCCGGUGUGCCAUGGCCCGCACCUCUCACAUAGUUGGACGUCGAGACCUGUUGGGGGCCAGCCUAUGGCCCUGGUGUGCAGCCUUUCCCUCUGCGGGUCUUGGUUGUCAUCUGAUGGGCAGAGCCCCAGUGUCCUGGCAGGCUGCUCGGCGGUAUAUAUGGAGGAGUAGAUUCGCCAAACUUUGCGUUGGGCGCUCGGGCUCCCCGCAAGUGCGCGCAGUUCUUAACAGAUGACGGACCUACCUGGCCUGCACCCGGACCCGUGCCACUGUUGCCUUGAGAUGCUAUCGGGCGGAAUAAUCGCUCCAGUCAGCGGAGCAUCAGCUUUGGACAAUUUCACGAC
rnacentral:rRNA from 1 species